rnacentral:rRNA from 1 species
UACGGAGGAUCCAAGCGUUAUCCGGAAUCAUUGGGUUUAAAGGGUCCGUAGGCGGUUUAGUAAGUCAGUGGUGAAAGCCCAUCGCUCAACGGUGGAACGGCCAUUGAUAUUGCUAGACUUGAAUUAUUAGGAAGUAACUAGAAUAUGUAGUGUAGCGGUGAAAUGCUUAGAGAUUACAUGGAAUACCAAUUGCGAAGGCAGGUUACUACUAAUGGAUUGACGCUGAUGGACGAAAGCGUGGGUAGCGAACAGG